GGGAGGGCUGGCGGUGUCGGUGUCAGGCGGUCACCGGCAGUUCGCCUCGGUGUGGCGUCGGGCGCGGCGCAGCUGCCGGUCAGGCGCGAAGUGCCGCUGGGGUAAUGAGGGGAGCGAGGGGCUCUCGGCUCCGGGGCUGCGCUUCUGCCGUCGUGUGAGCGCGGCCGGGCGACGGCUGGCUCGGGGCCUGAGGUAAUCCCUGCCGAGGAGGGAAGGCGAGCUCUGGCCGCAGUCGAGCAUGCGAGCUGCCGGCGUGGAGGCGGCCGCGGUCCCCGCCCGGGUGUGCCGCUGCCGGCGCCUCAGGUGGGGUAACGGUCGCCUGAAGGCGGCGGUAGCGCCCCCCGCCCCCCCUCUUGCCGCGCGCCUCGGGUAACGGCCGGAGCCGCGAGGACACCGCGAGGUUCCCGCCGCUUAUCCUCACCUCCCGGCGUUGGAGGGUCGGGGCGGAGACGGGGCGCCUCUCCCGCUCUUCUCGGUCCACUUCAGUAACCGUCCGUGUCCCGCCAGCUCCAGCCCGACCCGAAAUCCCUCUCGCCGCCGCACCGGAGUAACGCGGGGGCUCCCCUCCCGCCGACCGGCCCUGCCACCUCGUGUGGAGAAUGGUAGUCUGUGAUCUGUGCGGACUCCUCUGUGUUUGGGGCUCCAAAUGUCUCCAGUUAACCCUUCAGCUGCUCUGGCCGUUUGCCAUCACUGUCUUUCCUGCCGUCCCAUCUCCCCCACAUGUACGCCGUGUACAAAGCAGAAAUUCACUUACCACCCCCCAAGACUGAAAUACAAUGGAAGAAGAGUUGAUACGAAAAUAUUCUGGAAGAUGGAGCACAAAAGUUCAGCAGAUCUAAUAAUGUAGAGAUGUGCUGGUAUAGCCCUUCCACUCCUGGGUAGGUAGAUUCAGAGUUAAAGAUAUAUGUAGAAUAUAAUUAUUUUCAAUUAUUAUUUAUACAGAACAGCACUAGGAUAGUGAUGUUUAAAUUCACGUUCACAUAUAUUGCACUGCUUGAGUGUGCAAAAUCAAAUAGAAAGGCAUAGCUGUUACACCUGCUUUCUACAACUUCUGUAGUUAUUGUCUGACAAUGAUAAAGAGCAGAAGGGAGCAUUAAUAUAAGAGAAUGUUAUAUUUACCACUUUAACUUCAUUUUAAUGUAUUUAAAUGUAUAGAAUAUUAUAUAAUGACUGUAAUACUGGAUUAAUUUAAGUUUCAGUGUUUAAAAAAUUAUUUCUAACAGAAGGGGAGUAAAAAUGCAAAAAAUGUAAAAAAUAACAUUACUUUAUAAAUUAAAAAACUCAAUUUUUUAGAGUAGUAUCUAGCAGCAUUUUUAGUCCAAUUAAUAGGAAUUGUGGUAAUCUAAUACCAGUGUAACUGUACCUUUUCAAUUUUUUUUAAGUUAAGCUUUUAUUACAGUUUCUGUACUAUUAUGCCUAAAGACCUGUUCCUUAAUAAAAACAAGUGUGAAAUUUUAGCUUCACGGCUAAGGUUCCCUUAUGGGACAAACUGAGAAGGUUUGCCUUGGGGAAAAAAAAAAGUGCAAGAAAAUGAGACUGUUAAACUCUAAAUCAGCUAUUAUAAUUGGGUCUUAGUUGUGGCUUACUGUUAAAUUUAAGUCUUUUUCAGGACAACUAAAAUGUACUAAUGUUUAUAUGGCUGACUAAUGGUUUGGUAAUUUUGUUUUUGUUUACAUUUUGAAUAAUGAUGUGCUGAUGAUAUUUUAGUGAGAGGCUUUUACAAUUUUUUUUUUCCUUAGUUUAUUGCUCACUUGGGAUAAAAAUGCUCUGUUUUUGCAGAAAAGAGGUACCUUAAUAAACAGAUACAUCCCUAGCAUUAAAUGGCA